CGACUCUUCCGAUUCGAGCUCCAUUCCUCACGAUGCACAGAUUACUGACCAGUAUAAAUAACUACACAGUAAAACUGCGAAUGGCUCAUUAAAACAGUUAUAGUUUAUUUGAUACAUUAAAUGGAUAACUGUAGAAAAACUAGAGCUAAUACAUGCCAAAGCCUCACGGUUGUAUUUAUUAGAUAUUCCAAUUAGGUGAAUCAUAAUAACUUCGCAAAUCUCGGUUUUGCCGAGAUAAAUCAUCCAAGUUUCUGCCCUAUCAUGCUUUCGAUGGUAGUGUAUUGGACUACCUUGGCUUUCUCACGGGUAACAGGGAAUUAGGGUUCGAUUCUGGAGAAGGAGCCUGAGAAACGGCUACUACAUCUACGGAAGGCAGCAGGCGCGUAAAUUACCCAAUCCUGACUCAGGGAGGUGGUGACAAGAUAUAACAACGCAAUUUCAUUGUGAUUGUAGUGAGGGUAUUCCAAACCGAACCACUAGUACGAUUAGAGGGCAAGUCUGGUGCCAGCAGCCGCGGUAUUUCAGCUCUAUAGCGUAUAUAAAGUUGCUGCAGUUAAAAGCUCGUAGUGGAUUCAGAUGUGUACUCUCUCAGAGUAUGCACCUACUAGUCUUGACUGUACUGUGAGAAAUAAAGUGUUAAGCAGGCUAUGCAGAAACUUACUGAAACAAGUUUGAACUGUUAACUAGUUCUAUAAAAGAGUGGGCUUUUUUUUGCAGGAAUCUGGUUAAAUGGAAUUCGAGUUACAAAGAGAGAAGAAAAGCUCCUCUCUAUCGAGGGAU
rnacentral:rRNA from 1 species